UAGGGAAUCUUCCACAAUGGACGCAAGUCUGAUGGAGCAACGCCGCGUGAGUGAAGAAGGUUUUCGGAUCGUAAAGCUCUGUUGUUGGUGAAGAAGGAUAGAGGUAGUAACUGGCCUUUAUUUGACGGUAAUCAACCAGAAAGUCACGGCUAACUACGUGCCAGCAGCCGCGGUAAUACGUAGGUGGCAAGCGUUGUCCGGAUUUAUUGGGCGUAAAGCGAGCGCAGGCGGAAGAAUAAGUCUGAUGUGAAAGCCCUCGGCUUAACCGAGGAACUGCAUCGGAAACUGUCUUUCUUGAGUGCAGAAGAGGAGAGUGGAAUUCCAUGUGUAGCGGUGGAAUGCGUAGAUAUAUGGAAGAACACCAGUGGCGAAGGCGACUCUCUGGUCUGCAACUGACGCUGAGGCUCGAAAGCAUGGGUAGCGAACAGG
rnacentral:rRNA from 1 species